rnacentral:rRNA from 1 species
GAAGUGACGGUACUGUACGAAUAAGUCCCGGCUAACUACGUGCCAGCAGCCGCGGUAAUACGUAGGGGACGAGCGUUGUCCGGAAUUACUGGGCGUAAAGGGCGCGCAGGCUGUGCUGCAAGUCAGCUGUGAAAUAUCUGGGCUUAACCUGGAUAUGCGGUUGAGACUGCAGUGCUGGAGUGCUGUAGAGGCAAGUGGAAUUCCCAGUGUAGCGGUGAAAUGCGUAGAUAUUGGGAAGAACACCGGUGGCGAAGGCGACUUGCUGGGCAGCAACUGACGCUGAGGCGCGAAAGCCAGGGGAGCAAACGGGAUUAGAUACCCCGGUAGUCCUGGCCGUAAACGAUGAAUGCUAGGUGUGGGUGUAGAGAUACAUUCGUGCCGGAGUUAACGCGAUAAGCAUUCCGCCUGGGGAGUACGGUCGCAAGAUUGAAACUCAAAUG